rnacentral:lncRNA from 13 species
GGGAGAGAAGCUGCCAAAAAAGCACAUGGUUAACCAGAAGCUAAGCCAUUCAGUGAAGCAAAUACCACAUGUCAGGAACAAAAGAAGAAAAAGUUCAACCCUUUUGCACAGAUUUUUUUCAUCAAAGCCACGCUCACUUAAAAUAUAAACUGGCUGAUUUACUGGAGCAUCUACAGCUGUUUCCCUUAUUUUAACAAAAUGAGUGAACCCUGCUGUUGUUCUUUUUAAUCCUGAUUUGUUUUGUCCUUACUUGGGAAGCUGUAUUUCUACCAUUAAAAAUACACCUGUGCUCAAGAUGAAAAGGCAAAAAUCAAAGAGUUCUAACUCAGAGCUGGUCUAUUACAGUGGAAGAAAGCAAAGGAGAUACGAGGUACUUCAUCUGCAGGAUAUAUGGGAUUUAAAAAGAUAUUAAGUAGAGUUACUUCACAGAGUUCUCAAGGGCUGUCUCAAAUGAAAGUUUCAGAUUCUGACUCUUUUUUUUCUUUUUUGAGACGGAGUCUGGUUCUGUUGUCCAGGCUAGAGUGCAAUGGUGCAAACUCAGCUCACUGCAACCUCUGCCUCCCAUUGAUUCUCCUGCCUCAGCCUCCCGAGCAGCUGGGAUUACAGCCUAUUUUUCUCUCUCACUCAGUAUGAGUGGAAUUCUAUUUCUGUGUCUUCACGUUUACUGAUUUAUCCUGUCAUCUUCACUCUACCAUUGAGGCAAACCAACC